GACGAACGCUGGCGGCGUGCUUAACACAUGCAAGUCGAACGGUAAGGCUCCAGCUUGCUGGGGUACACGAGUGGCGAACGGGUGAGUAACACGUGGGUGACCUGCCCUGCACUUCGGGAUAAGCCUGGGAAACUGGGUCUAAUACCGGAUAGGACCGCACCGUGAGGGUGUGGUGGAAAGUUUUUUCGGUGUGGGAUGGGCCCGCGGCCUAUCAGCUUGUUGGUGGGGUAAUGGCCUACCAAGGCGGCGACGGGUAGCCGGCCUGAGAGGGUGGACGGCCACAUUGGGACUGAGACACGGCCCAGACUCCUACGGGAGGCAGCAGUGGGGAAUAUUGCACAAUGGGCGGAAGCCUGAUGCAGCGACGCCGCGUGGGGGAUGACGGCCUUCGGGUUGUAAACUCCUUUCACCAUCGACGAAGGGUUUCUGACGGUAGAUGGAGAAGAAGCACCGGCUAACUACGUGCCAGCAGCCGCGGUAAUACGUAGGGUGCGAGCGUUGUCCGGAAUUACUGGGCGUAAAGAGCUCGUAGGUGGUUUGUCGCGUCGUCUGUGAAAUUCCGGGGCUUAACUCCGGGCGUGCAGGCGAUACGGGCAUAACUUGAGUACUGUAGGGGAGACUGGAAUUCCUGGUGUAGCAGUGAAAUGCGCAGAUAUCAGGAGGAACACCGGUGGCGAAGGCGGGUCUCUGGGCAGUAACUGACGCUGAGGAGCGAAAGCAUGGGGAGCGAACAGGAUUAGAUACCCUGGUAGUCCAUGCCGUAAACGGUGGGCGCUAGGUGUGGGUUUCCUUCCACGGGAUCCGUGCCGUAGCUAACGCAUUAAGCGCCCCGCCUGGGGAGUACGGCCGCAAGGCUAAAACUCAAAGGAAUUGACGGGGGCCCGCACAAGCGGCGGAGCAUGUGGAUUAAUUCGAUGCAACGCGAAGAACCUUACCUGGGCUUGACAUAUACAGGAUCGCGCCAGAGAUGGUGUUUCCCUUGUGGCUUGUAUACAGGUGGUGCAUGGUUGUCGUCAGCUCGUGUCGUGAGAUGUUGGGUUAAGUCCCGCAACGAGCGCAACCCUUGUCUUAUGUUGCCAGCACGUUGUGGUGGGGACUCGUAAGAAACUGCCGGGGUUAACUCGGAGGAAGGUGGGGAUGACGUCAAAUCAUCAUGCCCCUUAUGUCCAGGGCUUCACACAUGCUACAAUGGUCGGUACAGUGGGUUGCCAGUCCGUGAGGGCGAGCUAAUCCCGCAAAGCCGGUCUCAGUUCGGAUCGGGGUCUGCAACUCGACCCCGUGAAGUCGGAGUCGCUAGUAAUCGCAGAUCAGCAACGCUGCGGUGAAUACGUUCCCGGGUCU
rnacentral:rRNA from 1 species